GGGCAUAUGGUGUAGAUGGUUUAUCACGCCUGCUUAGCAUGUUCUUGUGUUUGCAGGAGGUCUGGAGUUCAAGUCUCCAUUUGUCCA